GACUUCCUAGCGUAAUUGGUAGCGCGUCGGAUUCCAAAUUUGGAAAAUCAUUUGGUUCAUCCGAAGGUUGUGUGUUCAAGUCACACGGAGGUCA